rnacentral:rRNA from 1 species
CCUACGGGGGGCAGCAGUGGGGGAUAUUGCACAAUGGGGGAAACCCUGAUGCAGCGACGCCGCGUGGGUGAAGAAGCGCCUCGGCGCGUAAAGCCCUGUCAGCAGGGAAGAAAAUGACGGUACCUGAAGAAGAAGCCCCGGCUAACUACGUGCCAGCAGCCGCGGUAAUACGUCGGGGGCAAGCGUUAUCCAGAUUUACUGGGGGUAAAGGGGGCGCAGACGGCGAUGCAAGCCAGGAGUGAAAGCCCGGGGCCCAACCCCGGGACUGCUGUUGGAACUGCGUGGCUGGAGUGCAGGAGGGGCAGGCGGAAUUCGUGGUGUAGCGGUGAAAUGCGUAGAUAUCAGGAGGAACACCGAUGGCGAAGGCAGCCUGCUGGGGUGCGACUGACGUUGAGGCCCGAAGGCGUGGGGAGCAAACAGGAUUAGAUACCCUUGUAGUC